UCUAACUGAAUAUAUUAUACAGAAUACGGUGGCACUGAGAACAUGGGCGUUUGUCGGAUUCUAAGAAGAGGGAGGGGCUAAGCCCCGAGGGGAGCGCUUUGAUAAUAUUUUGGGGCCCCUGAUAUCCAUUGUUAGAGGCAGAAUUUCAGGGUCAUAGUGAUAUUUUAUGCUCAUUUGAAGACUAUCACUGAGAUAGAGAUGAACUAGUUCAGUGGAGAGAAAAAUACAAUAUUCAUAUAUAUUAAUGCAAAGAAUAGAGAGAUGUCGAUACGUAUUUCUUGUAUUUCGAAUUCCCUCGUUCACACUCGCUCUAUGGAGAGAGUUUCUAAGUUUCCCUACAUUUGCUUCAAGUAAAGAUAAAUGUAAGCAGGAAACAAUCGUUAAUAAUUACCAAUAGCCACAUUCUCUAACUACCUGGACUUAAUAAUUCCUUUAAACUAACCUCCUGUCUGAAGCUCCCCUAAAAUAGGCCCAACGACGCCCCCGACUCAGACCCACACACUCAAAAAACUGAUUCUUGGCCCUCAUAAACAUUAAACAAUAUUUUUAAGUAAAACGUAACUGAAAUAUAUAAAAUCUAAAGUGUAUUCAUUAAAACCACUUAAACACAAUGUAAAUAUGCUUCGUAUAACCUGAACAUAAACAAAUCAAGUAAACGUUACUUGAUUGGAUCACAGAAGGAGCAUCUGUGAGUGCAGGAAACACUUCACCACGUGACCUCUUGAGUGGACUUGUCAUUCUGACCGACAGAGCGACCGAGCGUGACAAAGUUAUUAGGUACACCAUUCAAGCCAAAUCCACAAAGCAUCUUUCAUCCUGUGGCAACCUCUCAUUUUAGGUGGAGGAUGUCAAAUACACAGCCAACAUAACUAAGGUCGUCAGCAACAGAGGAGGAGCUGCUGGAAGGAAGAUCCGACUCCUCAUGGCUCCAACAGCUAA